GACGAACGCUGGCGGCGCGCCUAACACAUGCAAGUCGAACGAGCGAGAGGAGGUUUACUUUCUCAAGCGAGUGGCGAACGGGUGAGUAACGCGUGAGGAACCUGCCUCAAAGAGGGGGACAACAGUUGGAAACGACUGCUAAUACCGCAUAAGCCCACGACCCGGCAUCGGGUAGAGGGAAAAGGAGCAAUCCGCUUUGAGAUGGCCUCGCGUCCGAUUAGCUAGUUGGUGAGGUAAUGGCCCGCCAAGGCGACGAUCGGUAGCCGGACUGAGAGGUUGAACGGCCACAUUGGGACUGAGACACGGCCCAGACUCCUACGGGAAGCAGCAGUGGGGAAUAUUGCACAAUGGGGGAAACCCUGAUGCAGCGACGCCGCGUGGAGGAAGAAGGUCUUCGGAUUGUAAACUCCUGUUGUUGAGGAAGAUAAUGACGGUACUCAACAAGGAAGUGACGGCUAACUACGUG
rnacentral:rRNA from 1 species